UAAAAGAAGUCUUGAGCAGUGAAACCCACAGAGAGAUCAGUGACGUGAGAGAGAGAUUUACAUGAAGAUGGCUGAGUGGUUCUCUUUCUCCCAGAAUAGAGCAGAACUUUCACCAGAUGUUUCCAUCGAGAGAGGAUCCACUUUGCAUUAUCAGCUCAUGCUUCAGCGCUCUGCGAGUGUUUAUAGUCCUGUGACUUUAACACUUCAUGACUGAGAGCUGCUGCUCAGCGACUUCACCCACACCAACCAUGAGUUUGAUCAGCGUCUUCAUCUGCACACUGGCCCUCUGCGCUCGAGGAUCCCAAAGUCAGGCCAUUGUGACUCAGAGUCCUGCAGUGAAAUCUGUUUCUCCGGGAGACACACUCACCAUCAGCUGUAAAACUAAUGUUGCUGUCGAUAAUGACUGUGGUGGUAAUUACGACUGUUUGUCCUGGUAUCAGCAGAAAGCUGGAGAAGCUCCUCAACAACUGAUCUAUAAUGCUAACAGUAGACAAUCAGGAAUUCCUGAACGUUUCAGUGGCAGUGGAUCUGGAACUGAUUUCACUCUGACCAUCAGUGGAGUCCAGCCUGAAGAUGCUGGAGAUUAUUACUGCCUAACAGAUCAUUACAACACAUUCAAAUCGUCAGGGUUCACACAGUGUUAGAGCGUCGUACAAAAACCCCAGUGAUUGUGACGGCUGCAGAUGCAGGUGCUGAGGAGGACGAUGUGAAACAGCACAAUGACACACUGUGGAGGAGAACAAACACAACACACUCACACACAUGAGUAAAGUCCAGCUUUCUCAGCUGUGAGAAAUUUUAACAAAUAGAAUGCAACUCAAUGACCUCUCUAAUGUCCAAGCCAUUAUGCUUUUAAUCUUCUCCCUGGUGUUACUUCAUGGCAGGGUCGUCUGUUGGCCACAGUCAUUAAAGUCAUUAUAGAAGAGGACAUCCAAGAAUUUUGUUCACAAGCCUCCAUUCAGUCUUCCACAUCUCCAUCCUCUGAACAUUUCUUUGUACAUAAGUAGGAUGGUGCAUUGUGUCUGUGUAUCAAAUACUUUGGUUUGGUCCCAUAGUUAAGUAGUGCUGUCUGCUACCUUUAGAACCCUCAGCCAUCAAACAGUUCCAUAAUGUUCAUGUGACAGAGGAGGCGUGGUCAAGCUUCAUCUGUGGAUGUUGAGAGGAGGUGGGUUUUCCUUCCAGUAGAGGCCAUGAGCCUGAGAGAGAUGGAGGUGGUGGAGGUUCCACGCAAGAAACGAAGCUUAAAGUAUGAGUCUAAUGAAAAUUAUAUCAUAAACUCCCAGGUUUUCUGUGUGUGAUAUGCUCAAAUAGGUUGUAAAUUUUACCGAUAAAUAAAAAAUUGGUUAGAAAAAUAAA